GCUUGUCUUAUUCUGGAGAUCGAGCCGAGCGAGCUAGAGAGAAAGAGAAAGAGAAGGAGAGGCGGCGAUGGGAGCGUUUUGGGGAACUAGGGUGAUGGAAAUAGUGAAGAAGCACGAUUCAGGUGGUCUCAUUUGGAAGAGAAUCAAGCUUACCUCUACUCGUAAAGCCAAUGCUAAAACCCGCCUCCGUCGCGUUUGGCAGAAUGAGGCUGUUCUAAAGGCGUGCGGGACAUCAGAUGCAUCAAUUUCUCCGGGAGUUAGUAGCAACACAGAAGCCUGUGCCAGUGCUGCGAAAAAAUGAGUGAGAAGGAGGAUGAAGAAGCUACAAACAUGGUCGUUACUGUAGUGAUAUUUGAACUUUGUGGUGUUACUUGUUAGGUUAUAUUGGUUUUAAACAUGUUGAAUCUGCAACAAGAAGAGACUUUUGUGUUGUUAUUGUGAUCAAGAAAACAAUUGGUCGGUCAGCUACUCAAAAAUACGUCUUGGUCAUUGCUACACCAACUUAAUCAAUCCUUAUCCUUGUUGCUA